rnacentral:rRNA from 1 species
CAGUAGCCGCGGUAAUACGUAGGUGGCAAGCGUUGUCCGGAAUUAUUGGGCGUAAAGGGCUCGCAGGCGGUUUCUUAAGUCUGAUGUGAAAGCCCCCGGCUCAACCGGGGAGGGUCAUUGGAAACUGGGAAACUUGAGUGCAGAAGAGGAGAGUGGAAUUCCACGUGUAGCGGUGAAAUGCGUAGAGAUGUGGUGGAACACCAGUGGCGAAGGCGACUCUCUGGUCUGUAACUGACGCUGAGGAGCGAAAGCGUGGGGAGCGAACAGGAUUAGAUACCCCAGUAGUCCCUGUCUCUUAUAC